AGGAGUGUAGCUCAGUCUGGUAGAGCAGCGGUCUCCAAAACCGCCGGUCGGGGGUUCGAAUCCUCCCACUCCUGCCA
rnacentral:tRNA from 1 species